rnacentral:tRNA from 1 species
AGGGAUAUAGCUUAGUGGGAAAGCACCUGCUGGCAAGCAUGAAGUCCUGAGUUCGAUUCUCAAUGUCAUAA